rnacentral:rRNA from 1 species
UCCGUAGGUGAACCUGCGGAGGGAUCAUUACAGAGUGUAAAAGCUCCCAACCCGUGUGAACCUACCUCCCCCGGAGGGCCCUUUCUAGGGCCCGAAGGGGCGUUGCUUCGGUCGCCUUUCGGGGCGGCCGGAGGUCCAAACUCUGAAUUCUAGCGUAUCUCUGAGGCCUACCGGCAACUAAUAACAACUUUCAACAACGGAUCUCUUGGCUCUGGCAUCGAUGAAGAACGCAGCGAAAUGCGAUAAGUAUUGUGAAUUGCAGAAUCCAGUGAAUCAUCGAAUCUUUGAACGCACAUUGCGCCCGCCGGCAUUCCGGCGGGCAUGCCUGUUCGAGCGUCAUUUCGACCCUCACCCUCCCCUAAAGGCGGGUGGCGUUGGGGCGUCCGCGUCACUGCGGAAGUCCUCAAGUCUAUAGGCGGCCCCGUCGGGUCCCCGAGCGCAGUAAAAUCACUAUCGUUCGGCGGUCGCGGCGGCGUUCUUGCCCCUAAAUACCCCAUUUUUCAUAAGGUUGACCUCGGAUCAGGUAGGAAUACCCGCUGAACUUAAGCAUAUCAAUAAGCGGAGGGAAGUCGGACUGGCCAAGGGGCACACCAGGGGGGGGGGAUA